GACGAACGCUGGCGGCGUGCUUAACACAUGCAAGUCGAACGGUAAGGCCUUCGGGUACGACGAGUGGCGAACGGGUGAGUAACACGUGGUGAUCUGCCCUGCACUUCGGGAUAAGCCUGGGAAACUGGGUCUAAUACCGGAUAGGACUCCUGGCUUCAUGGUUGGGGGUGUAAAGCUUUUGCGGUGUGGGAUGGGGCCCCGCGGCCUAUCAGCUUGUUGGUGGGGUAAUGGCCUACCCAAGGCGACGACCGGGUAGCCGGCCUGAGAGGGUGACCGGCCACACUGGGACUGAGAUACGGCCCAGACUCCUACGGGAGGCAGCAGUGGGGAAUAUUGCACAAUGGGCGCAAGCCCUGAUGCAGCGACGCCGCGUGAGGGAUGACGGCCUU
rnacentral:rRNA from 1 species